AGCUUAUGCAGCGGUCUUCCUCCCUGCCAUUUUUGUGCAUUGAUUGGUUUCCCACUAAGGCCAUGAUGAGGCUGAGGCUGUUUGGCCUCAGUCCUCUCUAUUUUCAAUUUACUCUACAUAUGGUUUCCAGAGUGUUCUUUCAAAAGGACUAGUCAUGUCAUUCACCUGUUCAAUAAUCUUUGAUGCCUACCAGGUGUCUCCAGAAUAAAGUCCAAAUUCCUUAUUGGUGUUCAAGCUCUUCUGGUCGGGCCUUAAUUCACCUUUCAGUUCAUGUCCCCCCACCUCAUAAUCCAGUCAAACCAGACAAAUUCCCUUUUCCAGAUUCCACAUGUCCAGAUGCUCUCCUCGUACCCAGUACUUCUCAGCAUUUUGCACACUUAUAAAUAUUUACUAAAGUAUUUGUUGAGACAGUUUUCCCAUUUGACUGUCAGGACAUGAGGGUGGGGGUUGUGUCGGUUCUGUAUAUUGUAUAUCCAUCCCCAGGGACCAACAUAGCACCUGGGACAUAGUAGGUGCCUGCUGGUAUCUGUGAACUGAUGGAGUCACUUGUCUGUGUCUGUAUAUUUCUAUCACAGCACUUGCUGAAUUCUGUAUUUGUCUAUCUGAUCUUCCUAUUGCUAGUCUCUGAGCCUAGUGGGCAGCAGAUAUGACUUCCUUUGUUUUUGUAUCCUUGGUGACUGGUGUUGUGCUCAGCAUACCCUGGGUACUCAAUAAAUAUUUGCUAAAUUUAAAUGAAGAGCAUGUGUUGCAGUAAGUAAGAGGUUCUAGAACAUCAUGUCAAUUCUUAAUGUAAAUGUAUAGACAUGAUGGCAUUUUGAGAUGUGGCUCCCAUUCUUGCACACAUGGCCACGCUCUAGGGUAGGCAAGCUAAAUCUGUGCCACAACCUGUUUUUGUAAAUAUCUUUACUGGACUAUUCAUUCUCAUAUUGUCUGUAUGCUCUCACUCUACAAUGUCAAAGAGUUGAGUAAUUGCAAAGGCUGAUAAUUUUUUUUUGCUUUUGCUUUUUAGGGUCGUACCUGUGGCAUAUGGAAGUUCCCAGGCUAGGGGUCAAAUCUGAGCUACAGCUACCAGCCUAUGCCACAGCCACAGCAACACAGAAUCCGAGAUGGCUUUGCAACUUAUACCACAGCUCAUGGCAACACUGGAUCUCUGAGCCACUGAGGGAGGCCAGAGAUCGAACCUGCAUCCUCAUAGAUGCUAGUCAUAUUUGUUUGUGCUGCACCAAAAUGGGAACUCCCUAAGACUUAAAAUAUUUACUGUUUAGCUCUUGAAAGGUAAAGUUUGCUGAUCGUCUAGAGGACACACAUAAAAAAGAAUAAUAAUAAUAGCAUCUAUUACAUAGAAUACAUGGUUGUGGGGAUUAAAUGAGGUAAUAUCUAUAACAUGCUUAUCAGUUUUUUGAAUAUUGGUCAGUAAUUGUUAAGUAUUAUUAUCAUUAUCAUAUUAUUAUAAUUGUUUUCUAACAGUCAAAAAUAUUAAAUAGCAAGCCAGCAGGAAUUUAAUACAGACCAUGUUAGAGGCAGGCACAGGGAUGAGCGGAGCAUAAUCUAAGAACCUGGCACUGAGAGAAAAGCAAACGGCAAAGCAAAGUACCUACAGAAACACCACUGGAUAUAUAUCAUGAUUGUUUUAUGAUCAUACCCACUUUAUAGAUGAGAAACGUAAGGAUCCAAUGCUUGUUCAUUUGUCUUAGAAUAUCAAGCUAGAAGUGAUAGAACUGGGACUAUAAACCAAGCUUGAAAUAACUGUUACAUAUGAUAAAGAACUAAAAGGAGUCUGUUCACUCACAAAUGACGAACGAGGUCAGGACAACUUUUGAAAAGAAAUCGCCAAAAACCCUACAACCCUGCAAAUGGUGGGAAUACUGAGAGGAAGUAUUAACAUAAAAAUGGACCAAUAAUCAUAAGAGGAGGUGAUCAAUGUCUUUAGUGAUUAGGGGAAUGCUAAUCAAGACUACACGAAGUAUCAUUUAAUAACCAGAUACAUUUUAUAAUUGGAAUAUUUUUUAAAAUAUGACAUUUCCAAGUGUUUGAAAGAUUGAAUCAAUAGAAUUUCCUUAACUUUCUAGAAAGGAUUAUAAAUUGGUGCAACCACUUGGGAAAAGAGCUUUUCAUUUGCUUCUAAAUUUGUAUUUUCAUACAUCCUCUGACCCAACAAAGUGUCUUACAUGUGCACCCCACAGCACUCUUGCACAUGUACAAAAGGAGAUGUGUAUAUGAAGGUUCAUAGCAACCUUACUGUUUAUAGUAUAAGCCUAUAUACUCAUCACAGAAGAAUUAAUGAAGUGUGAACAAAGCGCUUUUAUACAAUAGUCCAAAAAGGUGAAUUACCUUGGUAAUACAAUACUAAAUAAAAACAAGUCACUACAAAUUCCAUAUAGUAUGGCAUGAUAUAUUUAUUUUUUAAACCAUUUAAAAAAAUUGAAGUAUAGUUAAUUUACAAUGUUGUAUUUCAGGUAUACAUCCAAGCAAUUCUGUUAUACAUACAUACAUACAUACAAAUAUAUAUAUAUGUAUUCUUUUUCAAAUUCUUUUCCAUUAUAGGUAAUUAUAAGAUAUCAAAUAUAGUUCCUGUGCCAUACAGUAGGCCCUUGUUGUUUAUCUAUUUUAUAUAUAAUGAUAUGUUUCUUUAAAGUUAAAAAUUAUUAAACUAAAUAUUUUAAGGAAUAUAGAGAGAUGCAGUAAAAAUAUGGCAAAGAAAUAAUAAACACAGGGUUUAGGAUGACCAUUUCUUAAUGUGUAGGGAAGCAGUCUCAAAUAUUCAAUUGAGAUGUGUUUGACAAAGAUGUUGAUUCAUUUACUCCUUAAUUCAUUCAACAAAUAAUACUGACUAUAUAUUAACUGCUGUUAAAUGAUGCAAAUUAUCAAGCACUGACUUGGUGCAAAACGCUAGGGUAAGUCCAUGACACCAUAAUGGAAAGGAUAGGCAUAACUCUUGCUUUCACAGAGUUUACGUUCUAAUGAGAGAAGAGUCCUAGAGACCAAGAUUUAAAAGCUCUUUCCAUCUGAAUUAGAAUGAUGACAGUCAUUCAUGGAAACGGGAAAGGAAGAGUCUUUCAGAAUUUCAUCCUGUGGGUAUGGCUAACUUUGUUUUUUUUAGGCUGCAACUGCAGCAUAUGGAAGUUCCCAGACUAGGAGUUGAAUUGGAGCUGCAGCUACUGGCCUACAACACAGCCACAGCAACGCAGGGUCUGAGCCACAUUUGUGACCCACACCACAGCUCAUGGCAAUGCCAGAUCCUUCACCCACUGAGUGAGGCCAGGGAUCAAACCUGAGUCCUCAUGGAUACUAAUUGGGUUCAUUACCAUUGAGCCACAGUGGGAACACCCCUAUGGGUAAUUUUUAAGUUGAGGACCAUCUAUAAUGCAAGUCCAAGUUAUCAAUAAAUGAUAAUAAAUUCACACCUAAGUGUAGAAGGCUCAACUAACACACACACAGCCACACACACAUAUCCUAAAAUAGGAAGACUAUAGGAAGAAAAUACAUAAAGACAUUGGUAAGUACCCUAUACCACUUACACUGGCUCCUCUUUUUAGCACCAGACAUUUAUUUUAAUUGAAUUCAUUCAAUUAAUACUUCUUGGGUCCUCUCUCUAUAUAUAUAUAUAUGAGUCACUUGUGCUUGAUUUUAAAUAGUCCUAAAUGGCCAUUACUCAAAAUUAACUAAUGCCCAACAGCAAUAACAAGAGAAGAGAUUUGUCCUUGGAACAAAUCUUGCUGUACAACUGUGGGUUCACAUGAAACCCUUCAACUGGCACAGUCCACCCACAGCAUUUUCCCAAUGACUCAUGAAGGUGAGAAAUUUUCACAAAGCAUGACUCCUUGAAAUGUAUUUGGGGAGUUGCUGAUUGGUGCAUUUUAGGAGCUCAAAACUCUAACUCUAGUUAAUGAAAAGGUCAGAGCUGCUCAGUCUGACAUUAAAGACUCAGGAGCUACCCAGGGAACAGGCUUCCUCAUCUUUUCCUAUCUAUGACUCAGAUUCCUCUGCAGUUGGUGCUCACAACUCUUCCUUCGAACCUUAUUCUCUUACAUUCAUGCUUUCAGUAUCACUAGCUCUUUCUCACGAGGUUUAAUGCCAAUAUCCAUGACUUUAAUUUUGUUUUGUUUUGUUUUCAUGAACAAACUAACUGCUGAAAGGAACCAGCUAAUGCAUCAUCCCACAAUGAUCUGUUCCCUGGGACCCACAAAGCGGGACUUGAUUUAUUGACAAAAAUUUGUUCCCAAAGGCCAUGCUUGUCUUGAGAAACUGCAUCCAAAUAGGAACUGCUAAUUCAAGUCUCUAUUAAUCUGAAUCUCCCUCUGCUGGACAGACUCAAGAAACUGUCCACACUGCCCAGAUCGCAGGGUGAGGUACCGGGGGUUUGUUAGUGAGGGGACCUACUCAGUAAGAAUCUAUUUUUGUCUCAUUUCAACCAGUUGUCAGCACAUCUUACAGGAGGGAAUCUGAACUAUACUUUGGUUAUAAGAAUGGAUGUUCCACAGAAAUCCCUUGACUGGGGUUUCUCUCAGGCAAGGAAUACGAGUGCCCCUGGGGGGAGAGCCAAGGCUUGUCAGCCCAAACUGUGCAAGCAGCAGUUUAUUUGUUUUGUGGGUGUUUUUCUCCUCUGUAAACAUGUUCUGAGGCCAAGUGAUUGGUACAUGUUUUAUAAACUGGAAAUAUAAACACAGACAUUCUCUUCCAAAAAUGGAUCUUUAGGACUUCCCUAGGGAACUUGCUCUUGCUGUUUGUUCUGAUUCUGAACUAGCGUUAGUGAAAAUGUUACACCUCUGAUAUUUGGAGUGUUAAACCCAACAUCAAAGGGUGAAAAUUGUUGAAAAGUUUUUGAGGUACCCUAUUGGAAUCCCUAAACCAUUUUUGCUUCUACUGAGGACAAUACACUUACGUGGCAUGUCUUAAUGAAGUAGGUUGGGGGGAGGGAUUAAUAUAUGUACUGGGGCAGAGGUGUGGAUGACGAGCUGGCACUUUGAAGAGAAUUCUCCUUCAACUACAUCCUUGAAAUUGCUGCUCAUGCCAACUAGUAUCUCUAUUUUCAAUGUCAUUGCUGGGUAAUCCUAUUUUUUUUCUCAUAAUACGACAAUUUUCUUUAAACUGAACCUGAAUUAUUCUAAAGAUCUAUUUUGCUAGAGCCUAGAAAUAUUAAUGAGGCAUCUAAACAUUAAGGAAAUCGAACACUUCACCAACUUUGCACUUUUUUGGGGGGGCACGCCCACAGCAUAUAGAAGCUCCCAGGCUAGGGGGUGAAAGAGCUACAGCUGCCGGCCUACACCACAGCCACAGCAACACCAGAUCCUAGCCACAUCUGUGACCUACACCACAGCUCACAGCAAUGCUGGAUCCUUAACCCACUGAGUGAGGCUAGGGAUUGAACCUGCAUCCUCGUGAAUACUAGUGGGGUUCAUUACUGCUAAGACACAACGGGAAAUCCAUGCACUUGUAAAUAAAUAGUCUCUAGUCUUAUUUAAUAAGGAGCCAUCAAUUAUAUAUUCCUCCACCCUCACCAUUCUCAUACUAAUAUUGGGAUAUGUUUCCACUUUUCUCACAGACAUUAGUGUCAAAAACACUCUUCUUCCCUGCCUAUCCCCCGUGUUCCUCUUCACUGACUUCAACCUCACAUUGAUGAUUCCUGUCACAGCCUCAUUGGUUCUUGGCUCCUUAAAUACUCUGGCCCUUAAUCAUAGCCUAGUUCAGCCAGCCUCAAGCAUGGCCACCCAUUGGCUUUCAUCAUGAGAGAAACCUAUGUCUACUUGUAGUAAACCAUACCAACAAUCCUCCACUGUUUUGAUUGAAUCUACCUUUUCCAGUCCUAACAUCAGCAAUCUGGCAAGAGUCCUUGAUUUCUCUCAAAUCUUCUUCAUCACUUGCAUGUCUCCAUCUCAUCCAGGAAUCCACAGCCAAGUACUCCAACUUCCCACAGGUUCCAACCUCUGUGUCUUAGCUCAAAUGGAAUCACCACAGGAUCUAUUUCUGUUUAUUCCAAUCCUUGGUAUGUUUCAAAAUCAAUUUAAAUGCCAUUGUCUGAUAAAUACAGUUUUAAGUUUUCUAGUUAAAAAAAGUGAGAUGAUAUUAAAUAGGACUAAGUUUUAUUUAACUAAGUCAUGUCCAUGGACCUCAAUUACUUUGUCACCGCUGCAACAAUGGUGAGAUCAUUAAAUGAUGUGAUAUAUAAGGUGCUGUCCCAUGAUAAAGGACUUCUCUGGUAUUAUGCUGCCAGGUUUAACCUUGCCAUUCCUUAAUUUCUCAUAGAGCCUUAAUGCUUUUAUAGAGUUUAUAGUGCUUCCUCUUCAGCAUCAUAAAGUUUAACACUUUGUUUGACUGUUUGGAAACUAAGACUGAAUUUUGCUCAGAUUAGAUACAAACAAUACUUUUCAAAAUAUGUUCUAUGGGGAGUUUCAGUCAUGGCUCAGUGGAAAUGAAUUCAACUAGUAUCCAUGAAGGUGAGGGUUUGAUCCCUGGCCUCGCUCAGUGGGUUAAGGAUCCGGCAUUGCUGUGAGCUGUGGUGUAGGUCACAGACAUGGCGCGGAUCCUGUGUUGCUGUGGCUAUGGUGUAGGCUGGUGGCCACAGCUCCAAUUUGACCCCUAGCCUGGGAACUUCCGUAUGCCAUG
rnacentral:lncRNA from 1 species